rnacentral:rRNA from 1 species
UACGUAGGGAGCAAGCGUUGUCCGGAUUUAUUGGGCGUAAAGAGCGCGUAGGCGGCUUGGUAAGCCGGAUGUGAAACCCCCAAGCUCAACUUGGGGCGGCCAUUCGGAACUGCCAUGGCUAGAGUCUGGUAGGGGAACACGGAAUUCCUGGUGUAGCGGUGAAAUGCUUAGAUAUCAGGAGGAACACCAGUGGCGAAGGCGGUGUUCUGGGCCAGUA